AUUGAACGCUGGCGGCAUGCCUUACACAUGCAAAUCGAACGGUAACGGGCCUUCGGGUGCCGACGAGUGGCGAACGGGUGAGUAAUACAUCGGAACGUGCCCGAUCGUGGGGGAUAACGAGGCGAAAGCUUUGCUAAUACCGCAUACGAUCUACGGAUGAAAGCAGGGGACCGCAAGGCCUUGCGCGGACGGAGCGGCCGAUGGCAGAUUAGGUAGUUGGUGGGAUAAAAGCUUACCAAGCCGACGAUCUGUAGCUGGUCUGAGAGGAUGAUCAGCCACACUGGGACUGAGACACGGCCCAGACUCCUACGGGAGGCAGCAGUGGGGAAUUUUGGACAAUGGGCGCAAGCCCGAUCCAGCCAUGCCGCGUGCAGGAUGAAGGCCUUCGGGUUGUAAACUGAUUUUGUACGGAACGAAAAGCCUUCUUUUAAUACAGGAGGGUCAUGACGGUACCGUAAGAAUAAGCACCGGCUAACUACGUG
rnacentral:rRNA from 1 species